GUGGCUGUAGCUCAGUUGGAUAGAGCGAGCGCCUCCUAAGCGCUAGGUCGUGGGUUCGACUCCCGUCAGCCACGCCA
rnacentral:tRNA from 1 species